AAGUCGUAACAAGGUCUCCGUAGGUGAACCUGCGGAGGGAUCAUUAACACGUAUCCAAUACGUCCCAACUCUUCAAACCCCAAACCGUGCACCAAAUAUCCCCACUCGGAUUUAGCGACGAGCUGCAGACCAUGGGUGAUAGACCGCUCGCGGUCUGUCUGCAGUUCUAAGUGUCCAGGCGGACUCCCUCGGGGGUCUGUGCUGAGAUGCAGUCGGUCUGUUGUGGUUGUAUCCUUAGUCACCUGGCUUUUAGGCCAACCCUGUUUCGACCAGGAGCCUCUAAGCCUUAGUAUUCCCAAUUUUAACCCCUAUUUGAAACAUAUCUGAUUUUUAUGUUUUCGAAAGAAAGCAUAAUACGAAACCGCGAACAACUCUUAGCAACGGAUAUCUUGGUUCUC
rnacentral:misc_RNA from 1 species